AGAAGGGCUGGAACCAGCUCCCCCCCCUCCCUAAGCCUCAUUUAAGGGCUGGCUGCCCUAAGAGAAGGUUCUUUACCAGAAGGUCUCUCUUUUUGGGAGCACUUGGUGAGCCCUUAUCCUUGGGACAGGUAUUCCGGGUAAUUUACCUGCACAGCCAGCCUCUGAAUUGCUCUUCUGAACGCAAUUGCUGUUAUUUUUGAAAGCACUAUUCUCAAAAGCAAUAUUUCAUCAUUACUGUAAAACAUCAUCCCCACAAUUAUCAGACAGAGUGUCUGUAGGAAUCUUAUGGGAAACGUGGUGACGCCUGAAGCGAGCCCCAAACCCGGAGCUAUGUCUCAUUAGUGCCUGGCUGUGGCGUGCCACCCUCUUACCCCAGCUCGAGAGGAAUGAGAAUUUGGCCUUUGGGCUGUCAUGUGCAGUGCAACAGGAUUGGCUCUGAUGAGACUAUCGUCUUAAAAGUAGACUGCUUUUGGAGGAGGGGUAUUGCCUUAUUUCCAGCAAAGAUAUAAGCAAUGAGGAGGAAUCUCUCCUGCCUUAGAGCUAACCCUCACACUGCCUUCCACCCAAGCCCUUUCUGACUGGCUCCAGCCCCAGGACUUACAAACUCACUGAGCAAGUAGGCUUCUGUCUCAGAUGCUCCCUGUGCAAUCCUUCUGGCAAAAAAAAAGGCCUGCAGGUCAUCAUAGGAGGAAAGAAAUGGGGAAAGGUGAUCUUCAGUUGUGUAUCACAUUGCAUGUCGUGUUUGUUCUGAAGAUCUCCUUGCCAUAAGGAAGCAGCUAAAAUGGGUAAUGCUUUAGAGGUAAAGUGUGUUUGUUUUUCUUUAGGGGUAUUAAAUCUUAGUGACAGAAAAUUAUCUUCCUUUUGUAGAUAGUGAGAUAAAAAGAACGAUUCAUUUGGUUUUAGUCCUCUGUCCCCUUUGCCUUCUGGAAAAAGUGUAGACAGAAACGGUGGAAAGCAGUAUCUAAAAAAGAAAUCAGAAAAUGAGAAAAUAUCCAUCAGAAUGAAAACGUCUUACUUUAGGAGGAAAAAAAAAAACCCUACCAUUUAAGAUUGGAAAAUCACCUUGACAAGUUUCAACCUUCCGUGGCUGCUGCCUGAGGAAGGGCUUUGCAGGAAACGCUUUGCUCGCUGUUAGGUACAUGCAUGGAGAUGUAAAGUCAGCUACGUGCUGCUAUCCUUAUCUAUUUACUACCCUGCUGAAAAAGGGCCCUGUCUGCCUAGGCUCAGGUCUGACCUUCCUUAAAGAAAAGGCUUUUAGAGACAGAUUUUGUUUCCAGAUUUCUUCUCAUUUAAUUUUGCUGAAUGACUUCUACCAGUCUUGAUGUGCGUAAGAUGAGUUGACCAAAUGAGGAAUGCUGGUAGUGACAGCUGUUCUGGUGUCCUCUAUUAUAUAGAUGCGGGCACACACAAAGUGAUGGAAGGAAGGUUAUCAGCAUUAUCAAGACAUCACCGAUGAGUACAGCAAUCACAGCAAAGCCUGAGUGACAUCCUCAGCAGCUCCUGUACUUAAAUGAGCACAGAUGUAGAUACAGUAAAAGCACAUAAGCAAAGGUAGCUCCAGCCCAGAUCCCAGCAGCGUGGCAGACAGGAUGACUGACUGCACAGUCAUCUGCAGGAAGGAGGCUGACUUGCUAAUUGUAUGCAAAUGAGUAGGAAUUAAAACCAUUUGAAGGCGCUGUGAGCAGGAUGAAACGUAAAGCUUCCUUUGACAUUUAUUCAGAGGAGGAUAUUGUUUUCUGUGGCUGCUUGGUUCAUGUACGUUUUGAAUGAACUGCACUGCACCGUGUCACCCACUGAGUUAACAAUUUGUGACAAUUACAGUAAUUAUGCUGCUACAGUAGCAAUGCUAUUGCCCAAAUAUGCUCCAGGAUUGGCUUUACUUGAAUGAACACGAAUACCACGGGCCCAAAAAAACAUUUGUGGAUAUUGAAUCAUUUAAUUUUCUGAUUCUGUUAAUUCACAGUGUUGAAAUACCGAUAACCCUGUUCAUUAAAGGAGCAGCAGAGAAGUGCCAGACAAUUGAUACAGUGCUAAUGAAACAAAAGCUUUGCAGUCUCUCUGAGAAAAUGCGGUUGCAAAAUACGUGAAUGUGUCAUCUCUGCAAGCUGUAAAGAACCAAAUGCAGAGGUGACUCAUGUGAGGGCUGGAUGGAGCAGAGAGCCAGGAGGAGGUCGUGUGUCCUUGAAGCAGCAGUGACUCUGCGGUCCCACCUUCCAUUGGGCAAAGUCCCACACCUGGGUUUGCAUCCUGCUGCAGAAGAGCCUGGGUGGAUGCUGCCUACCAGGUGCUGCACACGCCUCCACGUCCAGGUCUUGCAUUUUUCACAUCUGCAAAAGACCAAAUAAGCUCCAGACGAGGCAGUGAGAAAGAGCUCUUAAUAACCUACUCAUCGAAUGUACCACCUUUCAUUCUGAAGUACACUUCCAGCCUUAACACAGCACUUCUCCAUCUCAGAGCCCAGUCUGUAUGACUUCUCUGUUGAUGGAUGUUUGUUCCUGAAGUCGUGAUCUUUUAGCCAAGCCUUAACAUGGAAGCCUUUUCUUCCAUCUCACCUCUGUAUUUUAAGAGGAAGUUGUGGCAUGAAAAGGAGAGAACAAAAUUGAAUGCUCCACUUAACAGAUGAAAACUCAGCAAAGGCAACAGAGGAUGUGGCUUCUCUGUAGAUUCCAAAUUACGCUGCAUGUGAAACAGGGAUAUUAUUCUGGAUGGGUCCUCUUGAUUUCUUGCCAAGGUCAGGACUGGAGCAUUCUGAUGAAGUGGUUGCUUGAGUUGCUUCAUCAGUUAUCUACUUCAGGUUUGAUGACAUCUCACUGUUAUUUUUCCUUUAUGUUCUGGAGUCAUUCACUGUUUGUCACUCCAUUUGCAGCUGUGGAGGUCACCCAUUUAUUCUAUGAAAGGCAGCAUAUAUCCAGACUUCUGUCAAGGCUGUACUAUGUUUUCUACCUAAUCACAGUUAACGUUACUUUGCAGUUGUAAGGUAAUUAUUUCUCACUGUCAGUGGUGAGUGCUUUCUAAUCCUUAUGAACCAGGUCCUUUCUGGUCCCGAGUUACAAAUAAAACCAAUUUUGUCAAGAAUAGGUUCUGCAAGGAGCCUGUUCUUCACAGGAUCCUAAUUUUUGGCUGUCUCCAUUCCUCUCCUCGGCAAAAUAUAAGCCAGUUAUACUAUGGAUCCCACCCCCAGUCUUACACAAGAAUACAGAUCCUGUCUGGCACAGACUGCUUUCACAAUAGUGACUUUUCUGAAGAUGGUGGUGUCAUCAUUUGAUUUUCUUCCUUAAACAUCCAAACCUUCUUCCAGGGGGGAGCACCAUCAUGUGGAUGCCUGGAUCCCUGCUGGCUGCUGGGGAAGUAGUGUUUGGGGAAGACAUGUAAAUACCAGAGAGGACCCACAGCAGCUGGCUGUCCUGGACGUGAAACAGGCUGAGGAAGAGUUAAAGCAACACGGUGAUAAAGUAUGGAAAUGUCUGCGGUGCCUUACCGCCCACGGGUUCUCCCUGUCCUUAUUCACCAGGCUGCCUGAUAUGGAUGAAAGUGCCUUGUGCUCCUUCUGGGGACUGAACAGCACAAUGUUAUUGUCCUGCUAAUAGCAGACAGCUUUUACAGACCUGGAGAAAAGAGGCUGGGAGAGACACUGGGAAUACUGCAGCUUGCCUUGUCUGUGCCCCUGGGCAAUGUCGGCCAUCCCUAAGGAGAGGCAGCAAGAUGCAAAGAGUGCUGGAGACAGAGCUCCAGGCAGAUCCUGUCACACUCACCCCUGACAGCUUUCCUUCCUGUAUUUUGCUCUAAAUCCUCCACACACACGAUUCAUCAUUUCUUGACCUGUGCCCUGGUGACAAGCAGAGCGGAUCUGUGCUUCCUCUCCACACAGAGAGGCACUGGGGGUCUGUCCUGAGGGCUCCCUCAAGAGCAGCCCUAGCUAGGCUGCUGCUGCCUCUGCCUAUUUACCCUGACAGCAAAGCAACAAUGUCUUGCCUUAGCUUGCAGUUUUCCUCGGUGACGGCCGAGACAAGCUUGUUUUCCCUUAGCAAACACAUUCUCAUGUCUUUGUCAAGGAGGGACUCGCUCCAGCAGAGUAUUUACAACGCCAGGACUGAGGCAGUGCAGGCUGGGCACCGUGGGCUCCUGUGAGAGGUCCAUGCAGUGAAGCCCAUCCUUCCCAACCCGCAGCCAUCAUCUGUCACUGCUGUUGGUGAAAAUCAUGGCCUGCUCACUCUCAAACCCUCAUACUCUGGAGUAGCUCCCCAGACCAAGAGCUGGUCAAGAUGAUGAUGAUCACCGUUAUUAGUGAAAUGUUAGCUGUUGUGGUUUCUUUCCCUUUAGGAGAGGGCAAUUUAUUAAAGCCAGAAUUGUUGAUGGGAGCUGAUUUGACAAAUGUCUCAGUUUGGAACCACUUCCUUCAGGAGGAAGCACAGGAACUGUUGAAACAAGAUUGUCUGUAUUUUUUAAAUGAAGAAAUGUUUUGAUUCAGGGGUCAAGUUGAAAAGAAGUAGGGCAAAGAGUCAAUUUUAGCUUAAAAAAUAUGCCAGAAACAUAAAUCAAAAUGAACUCUAUUUUAGCAUCACUUAGAUACAAUGGUUUUAUAACCCUGAAGUAUUUAUUAUUUAACAUUUUGUUUCAUCCUUGGGCCAUGAAAAGCCUCUAGUUUUGAUAUUUGGCAGAAUUGGAAGGGGUUGUUAUUGAGGGGGGGCCAUUUGGAAAGCUCCUCAGGUCACCAAAGCCGUUUCUUCCCCUCUGGCAUUCAGAGCUUCUCAGUUUGCAGACUCAGCCCUUCAUCUUGCAGACUCAGCCGUCAGAUGGGAGAGUUCCCUUGUGGGGAUGGAGGCAAAAGCCUUGCUGGGUGAUACCCCAGGAGAGGCCGUGCCUCCAGCAGGCAGCCACAGCUCUCCUUCUUGUCCUGCGACUGUCAUUACUUUGUAGGAGUACCUGAACUUCAGCCUCAGCUCACGAGACUUUGCCCAUGCAUACAAAAAAAGACAUCUUUUUGUAGCACUUUGGGCCAGACUGCAGUCACAUCUACAGAAGAUGGAGGGUUCAGUGUGUGCCAUCCCACCUGUUACG
ensembl:lncRNA